GGAGAAGAGUGAUCCUGUGGGAAGAUCAACAGUCUCAAUUAAUCUGGACACCUGAGAUUUCUCAAACACUGGACCACCAAACAGACAGCAUACACCAGCUGAGAUGAUGCACAUAACGCUCAAGAGACGAGAGCCCCCAGGGAGUUUAGAGUCUCAGGAAGCACAAGAUAAUAGGAAGCAACAACAUGGACUUGUCUGAGGUUGCAGACCUUUAAAGACUUUGAAUGGCUCAACUCCUGGGGCAGAUGCAGAAGGCACAAAUAUCUGAACUGCAAUUGCAAUCCAAAUUAAAUUGAAAGAUGAAAAAACAUCAUUGGCAGUAACAAGAUUCUUCAUCCACCAUGACAGUGACAGGAGGCUCAAGGAAAAGAAUUCAGAGAUCUGCCUGCCUUUGUAAACUUUGGUGGAUUCAAUCCUGUCACAAGAUAUUCUCAACAAUAGAAGAACUUCUGGUAGAAUCACCAUCCCUGAACUCAAGCUGUACU